rnacentral:rRNA from 1 species
GUGGGGAAUAUUGGACAAUGGGCGAAAGCCUGAUCCAGCCAUGCCGCGUGUGUGAAGAAGGUCUUCGGAUUGUAAAGCACUUUAAGUUGGGAGGAAGGGCAGUAAGUUAAUACCUUGCUGUUUUGACGUUACCGACAGAAUAAGCACCGGCUAACUUCGUGCCAGCAGCCGCGGUAAUACGAAGGGUGCAAGCGUUAAUCGGAAUUACUGGGCGUAAAGCGCGCGUAGGUGGUUUUGUAAGUUGGAGGUGAAAUCCCCGGGCUCAACCUGGGAACUGCCUCCAAAACUGCAUGACUAGAGUACGGUAGAGGGUAGUGGAAUUUCCUGUGUAGCGGUGAAAUGCGUAGAUAUAGGAAGGAACACCAGUGGUGAAGGCGACUACCUGGACUGAUACUGACACUGAGGUGCGAAAGCGUGGGGAGCAAACAGGAUUAGAUACCCUAGUAGUCC